AGUGAACGCUGGCGGUAGGCCUAACACAUGCAAGUCGAACGGCAGCACAGUAAGAGCUUGCUCUUACGGGUGGGGAGUGGCGGACGGGUGAGGAAUACAUCGGAAUCUACUUUUUCGAGGGGGAGAACGUAGGGAAACUUACGCUAAUACCGCAUACGACCUACGGGGGAAAGCAGCGGAUCUUCGGACCUUACGCGAUUGUAUGAGCCGAUGUCGGAUUAGCUAGUUGGCGGGGUAAAGGCCCACCAAGGCGACGAUCCGUAGCUGGUCUGAGAGGAUGAUCAGCCACACUGGAACUGAGACACGGUCCAGACUCCUACGGGAGGCAGCAGUGGGGAAUAUUGGACAAUGGGCGCAAGCCUGAUCCAGCCAUACCGCGUGGGUGAAGAAGGCCUUCGGGUUGUAAAGCCCUUUUGUUGGGAAAGAAAAGCAGCAGGUUAAUACCCCGCUGUUCUGACGGUACCCAAAGAAUAAGCACCGGCUAACUUCGUG
rnacentral:rRNA from 1 species